rnacentral:rRNA from 1 species
UACGGAGGGUGCAAGCGUUAAUCGGAAUUACUGGGCGUAAAGCGUGCGCAGGCGGUUUGUUAAGUCUGUUGUGAAAUCCCCGAGCUCAACUUGGGAAUUGCAAUGGAUACUGGCAGGCUGGAGUAUGGUAGAAGAAGGUGGAAUUCCCGGUGUAGCAGUGAAAUGCGUAGAGAUCGGGAGGAACACCAGUGGCGAAGGCGGCCUUCUGGACCAAUACUGACGCUCAUGCACGAAAGCGUGGGGAGCAAACAGG